rnacentral:rRNA from 1 species
AUGAACGCUGGCGGCGUGCCUAACACAUGCAAGUCGAGCGGAGAUUUAUAGAAGUAGCAAUACGGAAAUUUAUCUUAGCGGCGGACGGGUGAGUAACACGUGAGGAACCUACCUUCAACUGGGGAAUAACACCGUGAAAACGGUGCUAAUACCGCAUAACGUUGCACCAUGGCAUCAUGGAGCAACCAAAGGAGCAAUCCGGUAGAAGAUGGCCUCGCGUCCGAUUAGUUAGUUGGUGGGGUAAUGGCCUACCAAGACAGCGAUCGGUAGCCGGACUGAGAGGUCGAUCGGCCACAUUGGAACUGAGAAACGGUCCAGACUCCUACGGGAGGCAGCAGUGGGGAAUAUUGGGCAAUGGGCGAAAGCCUGACCCAGCAACGCCGCGUGAAGGAAGAAGGCCUUCGGGUUGUAAACUUCUUUGAUCGGGGACGAAAAAAAUGACGGUACCCGAAAAACAAGCCACGGCUAACUACGU